rnacentral:ribozyme from 1 species
CAGUAAUCUUCGGCAGCAGAACACUUUUUCAAACAAACGUAAAGAAGCGAGCACCGCAUGUAUAUAUAUAUGUAUAUCGAUGUGUGUAGAGAGAUGAGGCCUAUGGCU